rnacentral:rRNA from 1 species
CCCAAUUAAACCAUGCAUGUGUAAGGUAUAAAUAAUUCUACUUUGAAACUGCGAAUGGCUCAUUAUAUCAGUUAUAGUUUAUUAGAAAAAAUGUACUACUUGNNAUAACCGUAGUAAUUCUAGGGCUAAUACAUGAAUGAAUCCUCGACUUUGAAGAGGGGGGGUUAUUAGUAUGAAAACCAUAUGCUUCUGCAUGAUAGUGAGUAAUAAUAACCUUUCGUAUCCCAUGUUGUUAUAACGAUAGUUCUUUCAAGUUUCUGCCCUAUCAGCUUUCGAUGGGAGUGUAUUGGACUACCAUGGCAGUAACGGGUAACGAACAAUUUGGGUUCUAUUUCAGAGAGGGAGCCUGAGAGAUGGCUACCACAUCCAAGGAAGGGAGCGGGCGCGUAAAUUACCCAAUCCUGACAGAGGGAGGUAGUGACAAUAAAUCACAAUGCGGGACUAUUUAAUUUUGCAAUUGGAUUGAGAACAAUGUACAAAAGUUAUCGAUAAACAAUUGGAGGGCAAGUCUGGUGCCAGCAGCCGCGGUAAUUCCAGCUCCAAUAGCGUAUAUUAACGUUGUUGCAGUUAAAAAGCUCAAAA